UCCAAGUCUGCACUGCUGGGGCUGGAUCCAGCCCCACCUAAACUCCUCUCUGAGAAGUUUGGAAGCAAGGGGGCCCUGUGAAACUGAUGGCUCGAUGAAUGGCCCUUCCUGACAGCUUUGUCUGACUCUGCCCUCUCUGCUGUAAAUGGUCGAGUGUACCUUGCCACUGAAUCUUGUUGAAACAGUCACAUCUACUGCUGAAAUUUGCUACAUCAACAAAGCAUAUCGUAACUUGUUUCUUACAAGUGAAGUGCAUGACGCCAUCCCUAACACACUCACUGGAGAACCACA
rnacentral:lncRNA from 12 species